rnacentral:rRNA from 1 species
ACCAGACUCCUACGGGAGGCAGCAGUGGGGGCUCUUGCACAAUGGGGGCCCCCCUGAUGCAGCGCCGCCGCGUGCGUGCGGAAGUACUUCGUUACGUAAAGCUCUCUCAGCAGGGACGAACAUGACGGUCCCUGACUAAGAAGCCCCGGCUAACUACGUGCCAGCAGCCGCGGUAAUACGUAGGGGGCAAGCGUUAUCCGGAAUUACUGGGUGUAAAGGGAGCGCAGACGGCAGUGCAAGUCUGGAGUGAAAGCCCGUGGCUUAACGACGGGACUGCUCUGGAAACUGUGCAGCUAGAGUGCAGGAGAGGCAGGCGGAAUUCCUAGUGUAGCGGUGAAAUGCGGAGAGAUUAGGAGGAACACCGGUGGCGAAGGCGGCCUGCUGGACUGUAACUGACGUUGAGGCUCGAAAGCGGGGGGAGCAAACAGGAUUAGAUACCCCGGUAGC